ACAAAGACCUUCCUGGAGGUCAUCAAUAGUUCCAAUAAAAUUGUGU
rfam:Biomphalaria glabrata isolate BB02 unplaced genomic scaffold LGTN_random_Scaffold20, whole genome shotgun sequence.